CAGGACGAACGCUGGCGGCGUGCUUCAUACAUGCAAGUCGAACGAGAAAUCAACUUCGGUGGUGGAAAGUGGCGGACGGGUGAGUAAUAUGUAGAGAAUCUGCCCUUAGCGGGGGACAACAGUUGGAAACGACUGCUAAUACCCCAUAUGAGCGUAGCUGAGAUGCUAUUCUUGAAAACUCCGGUGCUAAAGGAUGAGUCUGCAUCUGAUUAGCUAGUUGGCGGUGUAAUGGACCACCAAGGCGACGAUCAGUAGCUGGUUUGAGAGGACGAUCAGCCACAAUGGGACUGAGACACGGCCCAUACUCCUACGGGAGGCAGCAGUAGGGAAUUUUGCGCAAUGGGGGAAACCCUGACGCAAGCAACGCCGCGUGAUUGAAUAAGCCCUUCGGGGUGUAAAGAUCUGUCAGUAGGGACGAAACUUGACGGUACCUACAGAGGAAGCAUCGGCUAACUCCGUGCCAGCAGCCGC
rnacentral:rRNA from 1 species